rnacentral:rRNA from 1 species
AUUGAACGCUGGCGGCAGGCCUAACACAUGCAAGUCGAGCGGUAGAGAGGUGCUUGCAUCUCUUGAGAGCGGCGGACGGGUGAGUAAUGCCUAGGAAUCUGCCUAGUGGUGGGGGGAUAACGUUCGGAAACGGACGCUAAUACCGCAUACGUCCUACGGGNGAAAGCGGGGGGAUCUUCGGACCUCGCGCCAUUAGAUGAGCCUAGGUCGGAUUAGCUAGUUGGUGAGGUAAUGGCUCACCAAGGCGACGAUCCGUAACUGGUCUGAGAGGAUGAUCAGUCACACUGGAACUGAGACACGGUCCAGACUCCUACGGGAGGCAGCAGUGGGGAAUUUUGGACAAUGGCGCAAGCCUGAUCCAGCAAUGCCGCGUGCAGGAUGAAGGACCUC